AUGGCAAGGAAUCGACUCGACCGAGCUCUCAACGAUCAAUAUCUUGGCAAAUGCCAUGCCAGUGGCCUGACCGUUUGUCGUCGACAGAACAACGAACGGUCACGGAACCUGCCACGUUGGUGUCCAAUCGAAGAGAAACAUGGGAAGCCGCUCCUCGGGCAUUCUGAGGAUGUGUCCCAGCCAUCUGAGUCGGCUGGCCGCUUUAACUUCCUGUCUCUGCUUGAUGUAGGACAUUCAAGUUGGUAACAUGAUGAAACCACCAGGUACGAAGAAUUAUUCCGAGACAACGCUGUGUAGGAUAGACGUGCUCAAACUUUGGAUGCCUGAGUUUGAUGGCAGACAUCCAGCUGCCUCUGUCCUGCGGGUUUACAUCGUUAAGGUUGAGAUGGGGUAUGUCCGGGCGGGCUUAAUGGAGAAUUGUUUUUACUCAAUGGUCACUGCGUAACAAAACCCGGAGGCCACCCCAAGGUGUGACCGGAAGACUACUUCAUUGGUCCUGAUUCUAUGAAUAGAGCUUCAACAACAUCUUUCCUCCUUAGGCCCAAAUAGAAAUCAAUCUAACAUUUGUAUAAAUGCGUGAAAAGCGAUAAUGUACAAUGUGCGGGGUGACAACUUUUAGAGAAUAUCAGACAGAUAGCUUUAGUGAUAUUGGAAACAUUAAAAGAUAUAGUGCUUGGGUCAGCGUGGUCGUAUGAGGGUUAAUUUUCGGCCCAUUUGUUCGGUCUUUCGAUGGUCAUUCUGAUGAUUUUUCUCUUCCUCUCGACUAGGAUGAUCUGAGGUCUAUGUGAUAAAUAUUGUGGCGUAUACUCCAAGUGUCAUGUUGAUUUAAGCCGAGUCUUCAUUCGAUCAACAUACAUUUUCAAUUAUAUCCAUCAUCUUCAAAGAUGACUGCAUCUAUUUCGUUCAAAACACCACCUUCAAAAUGGUUUUGUGAUGAAGAUCUAGAGUGAAGAGCUCGAGUUUGCCCCAAUACUGUUAGCUAAUGGCAUUGUUGACUUCGUUAGCAAGGGACUAAUCGUUAUCAAAUAAUCAUCCACCAUUUUCGUCGUUUUUUCAAAAUAAAAACCCUUAGCCACCUCUGAUUUUCGUUGCGGCCUAGAUGACCAAACGGACCGCACGAUUUGGUGCUCAUUUAUAAUUUUGUAAGUUUUUUUUGUUGUUAACCAUCGACAUCGUAAUGAUUGUACAUACAUUGCUUCUUCAAUAUGAGAAAAUAAUUUGGCGUGUUUAAAUGUUGAUGAUACCAGCUCAACAGAAGGCCCACGUUGUGCACUUACUAUGCUUAUGUCCCAUAUUUCAUGCCCAUUACUUUAGUAAAUUGCAAGAAAAUUGAUGUCGCUAUUAUGAUACGGAUAUCACGUGCUUGCUAUUGAAUAAGGAAUGUCAGAAUGUUAAAUGUACAUUUUCCGGCAGCCUGGACAAAUUCAAAGCAAAGGGCGUACUAAGAAGUCUGGAGACAGGGCUUUAAGUAGCAUCCAUUUGUCAUUAAAGACACGGGUACACGGGGUGACAGAGAACUGUCGUGCGAAAAGCCACCCUUUUCAUCCUUGCAAAGAUGGAUGCUCUGACUGUGUGGCGGGUCUUAAACCAUGUCAAACAUCCCUUCAUCAAAAUGCAUUUAUUCCAACCACACGUGAAGUAAAUAGUUGAUGCCUUGCUAUGCAGAAACCGUACCCGAGAAGAACUACAUGUUAAGUGUAAAAGAAU